AAUUGCCAGAUAUUGUUUGUGUAUCUUGGCUUUUGUCUUAUUCCACUUUGCUGUAGAAGGUUGGUGGAGUCUAAGGCUCCAACUCUGAUUUUUUCUGAAAAAAAUAUAGAAUCUAUCAAGAGAGUUUUUUUUUCUCUACAUGAUCAGGUUUCCACAAGAUGUCGGUUUUUGGGAUUGGAAGUGCUCUGUCCCUUUUUCUUUAUCGUGAAGCCUAGCAUUUUUGGGCACCUAUGUAGAGAGGAGGUAACUACUAUAACUAUUCUCAUCAAAGCUCAUACAUCUUGUCUCUGCUCUUGGAGGUUUGAUAGAGCAGUAGUUUUUUUUUUUUUACAUGAUUAGGUUUCCACAAGG
rnacentral:lncRNA from 1 species